UAACCUGCCUGGUAGCGGGGGAUAACUAUUGGAAACGAUAGCUAAUACCGCAUAAUAGUAGAUGUCGCAUGACAUUUGCUUAAAAGGUGCAAUUGCAUCACUACCAGAUGGACCUGCGUUGUAUUAGCUAGUUGGUGAGGUAACGGCUCACCAAGGCAACGAUACAUAGCCGACCUGAGAGGGUGAUCGGCCACGCUGGGACUGAGACACGGCCCAG
rnacentral:rRNA from 1 species